rnacentral:rRNA from 1 species
UAGUACUGUGAAGGAAAGGUGAAAAGGACCCCGGGAGGGGAGUGAAAAAGAACCUGAAACCAUAUGUUUACAAGCUGUGGAAGAGCUUUAUAUGCUCAACCGCGUACUUUUUGUAGAACGGUCCGGCGAGUUACGCUGGCUGGCGAGGUUAAGGACUGAAGGUCCGGAGCCGAAGGGAAACCAAGUCUGAAUAGGGCGCAUAGUCAGUCGGAGUAGACCCGAAACCGGGUGAUCUAUCCAUGUCCAGGUUGAAGUUGCCGUAAAAGGCAAUGGAGGACCGAACCCACAUCCGUUGAAAAGGGUGGGGAUGAGGUGUGGAUAGGGGAGAAAUUCCAAUCGAACCCGGAGAUAGCUGGUUCUCCUCGAAAUAGCUUUAGGGCUAGCCUCGUGUUAACCUUGUGGAGGUAGAGCACUGAAUAUCCUAGGGGGCGUCAAAGUCUACCGAAGAUUAUCAAACUCCGAAUGCCAUAGAGGUGAUGCACGGGAGUCAGACUGCACGAGAUAAGUUGGGUGGUCAAAAGGGAAAGAGCCCAGACCUACAGCUAAGGUCCCAAAGUGCGUGUUAAGUGGAAAAGGAUGUGGGAUUUCGAAGACAACUAGGAUGUUGGCUCAGAAGCAGCCAUACAUUCAAAGAGUGCGUAAUAGCUCACUAGUCGAGAGGUCCUGCGCCGAAAAUGUCCGGGGCUAAAACACGACACCGAAGCUUAGGACUCCUUUAAGGAGUGGUAGAGGAGCAUUGUUAGCGCAGCGAAGCUGUACCGAUAAGGAGCAGUGGAGUGCUAAGAAGAGAGAAUGCCGGAAUGAGUAGCGAGAGGAAGGUGAGAAUCCUUCCGGCCGAAUAUCUAAGGUUUCCAGAGUAAAGCUGAUCUGCUCUGGGUAAGUCGGGGCCUAAGGCGAGGUCGAAAGACGUAGUCGAUGGAUAACAGGUGGAGAUUCCUGUACUAUGUGUACCCAGAACUGUGGGGACGCAUGUGGAGAGCAUGAGCCGGGAAAGAAAAAACCGGUACAAGCGGGGUAGGAGUAAGGACAGCAAAUCUUCCUUACAAUCCGAAGACGUGAUGUGGACCGAACCAAAGUAGGGAAGCAUGUGAGCCAUGUGCCAAGAAAAGCCGCUAUUGUGAUACACAUACCCGUACCGUAAACCGACACAGGUGGAUGAGGAGAGAAUCCUAAGGCCGACGGAAGAAGCAUUGUUAAGGAACUCGGCAAAAUGACCCCGUAACUUCGGGAGAAGGGGUGCCCUGUGAAAGCAGGGCCGCAGAGAAUAGGCUCAAGCAACUGUUUAGCAAAAACACAGGUCUAUGCGAAACCGAAAGGUGAGGUAUAUGGGCUGACGCCUGCCCGGUGCUGGAAGGUUAAGAGGAGAAGUCAGGCAACGAAGCUUCGAAUUUAAGCCCCAGUAAACGGCGGCCGUAACUAUAACGGUCCUAAGGUAGCGAAAUUCCUUGUCGGGUAAGUUCCGACCCGCACGAAAGGCGUAAUGAUUUGGGCACUGUCUCAACAAUGCACCCGGUGAAAUUGAAAUACCAGUGAAGAUGCUGGUUACCUGCGCCAGGACGGAAAGACCCCAUGGAGCUUUACUCCAGCUUGAUACUGGGAUUCGAUACUGUAUGUACAGGAUAGGUGGGAGACGUUGAGCAUAGAACGCCAGUUUUAUGUGAGUCGCUGUUGGGAUACCACCCUUGCAGUAUUGGAUUUCUAACCUGCACCCAUGACCUGGGUGGGGGACAAUGUCUGGCGGGGAGUUUGACUGGGGCGGUCGCCUCCGAAAGGGUAUCGGAGGCGCUCAAAGGUUCCCUCAGAAUGGUUGGAAACCAUUCGAAGAGUGCAAAGGCAGAAGGGAGCUUGACUGCGACACCGACGGGUGGAGCAGGUACGAAAGUAGGACUUAGUGAUCCGGUGGUAUAAAGUGGGAUUGCCAUCGCUCAACGGAUAAAAGCUACCCUGGGGAUAACAGGCUUAUCACUCCCAAGAGUUCACAUCGACGGAGUGGUUUGGCACCUCGAUGUCGGCUCAUCGCAUCCUGGGGCUGUAGCAGGUCCCAAGGGUUGGGCUGUUCGCCCAUUAAAGCGGUACGCGAGCUGGGUUCAGAACGUCGUGAGACAGUUCGGUCCCUAU